GACGAACGCUGGCGGCGUGCUUAACACAUGCAAGUCGAGCGGUAAGGCCCUUUCGGGGGUACGACGAGCGGCGAACGGGUAGAGUAACACGUGGGUGACCUGCCCUCAGCUCUGGGAUAAGCCUGGGAAACCGGGUCUAAUACUGGAUAUGACUCCAUGACGCAUGUUGUGGGGUGGAAAGCCUUGUGCGGCUGAGGAUGGGCCCGCGGCCUAUCAGCUUGUUGGUGGGGUGAGGCCUACCAAGGCGACGACGGGUAGCCGGCCUGAGAGGGCGACCGGCCACACUGGGACUGAGACACGGCCCAGACUCCUACGGGAGGCAGCAGUGGGGAAGUCUUGCGCAAUGGGCGAAAGCCUGACGCAGCGACGCCGCGUGAGGGAUGACGGCCU
rnacentral:rRNA from 1 species